rnacentral:rRNA from 1 species
GAUGAACGCUGGCGGCGUGCCUAAUACAUGCAAGUCGAGCGAACAGACGAGGAGCUUGCUCCUCUGACGUUAGCGGCGGACGGGUGAGUAACACGUGGAUAACCUACCUAUAAGACUGGGAUAACUUCGGGAAACCGGAGCUAAUACCGGAUAAUAUAUUGAACCGCAUGGUUCAAUAGUGAAAGACGGUUUUGCUGUCACUUAUAGAUGGAUCCGCGCCGCAUUAGCUAGUUGGUAAGGUAACGGCUUACCAAGGCGACGAUGCGUAGCCGACCUGAGAGGGUGAUCGGCCACAAUGGAACUGAGACACGGUCCCGACUCCUACGGGAGGCCGCAGUAGGGAAUCUUCCGCAAUGGGCGAAAGCCUGACGGAGCAACGCCGCGUGAGUGAUGAAGGUCUUCGGAUCGUAAAACUCUGUUAUUAGGGAAGAACAAAUGUGUAAGUAACUAUGCACGUCUUGACGGUACCUAAUCAGAAAGCCACGGCUAACUACGUG